ACUUUUGACUAUAAGGUGGUAAUUUUGAAUUGAAAUUUCUGUGUAAUAGUAUCGUUUCAAACAUGUGUUCGCGAGUUAACGAGUACGAUAAACGGCCGUGAAUUAGUGAUGAAAAGAAAAUAGAGAAUAGUUUUAUUUUUAAGUACGAGAAAUUUAAAAGCCGGUUGAUUUUAUUAUCUUUUAUAAUUAUUUAUUUACUUUAGAAUAUGUAUCUUGAAUUCUAGAUCUUUUCUGUUUGAAUCAUUAUUUAUACUUUCAUUACAAAUCAAUUUCUUAUUUUAUAGCUCUUCACCAACAAAAUUUACUCGUCCACACCAACUGGUCCACACAUAUGUCAAACGAUUUGUCAUUCGUAUACGUUAUGAUCAGGACACUCU
rnacentral:lncRNA from 1 species